UACGUAGGGUGCGAGCGUUAAUCGGAAUUACUGGGCGUAAAGCGUGCGCAGGCGGUUCGCUAAGACCGAUGUGAAAUCCCCCGGGCUUAACCUGGGAACUGCAUUGGUGACUGGCGGGCUAGAGUAUGGCAGAGGGGGGGUGGAAUUCCACGUGUAGCAGUGAAAUGCGCAGAUAUCGGGAGGAACACCAGCGGCGAAGGCGGCACUCUGGGCUGGUACUGACGCUGAGGAGCGAAAGCGUGGGUAGCAAACAGG
rnacentral:rRNA from 1 species